UUCUUUGGGGCGGGGCGUAAUUCCCCACCGGCAGUAAAAGUCUGCGAGCCUUUGGCUGAUUCGGUGCAAUUCCGAAACCGACGGUACAGUCCGGAUGGGAAAAGAA
rnacentral:ncRNA from 1 species